rnacentral:rRNA from 1 species
UACGGGAGGCAGCAGUGGGGAAUAUUGCACAAUGGGCGCAAGCCUGAUGCAGCGACGCCGCGUGAGGAUGAAGGCCUUCGGGUCGUAAACUCCUGUCGACCGGGACGAAAGUAGUCCGACCCAAUACGUCGGGCUAUCGACUGUACCGGUGGAGGAAGCCACGGCUAACUCUGUGCCAGCAGCCGCGGUAAUACAGAGGUGGCAAGCGUUGUUCGGAAUUACUGGGCGUAAAGGGCGCGUAGGCGGUCGGGCAAGUCCUGUGUGAAAUCCCUCGGCUCAACUGAGGAACUGCACGGGAAACUGCCUGACUUGAGUUCGGGAGAGGGAAGCGGAAUUCCGGGUGUAGCGGUGAAAUGCGUAGAUAUCCGGAGGAACACCGGUGGCGAAGGCGGCUUCCUGGACCGACACUGACGCUGAGGCGCGAAAGCUAGGGGAGCAAACGGGAUUAGAUACCCCGGUAGUCCUAGCUGUAAACGAUGAGUGCUGGGUGUAGGGGGUCUUAACCCCCCCUGUGCC